rnacentral:rRNA from 1 species
UACGGGGGGUGCGAGCGUUGUCCGGAAUCACUGGGCGUAAAGGGCGCGUAGGUGGUUUGAUAAGGGUGUGGUGAAAGUCCGGGGCUCAACCCCGGAUCUGCCGUGCCGACUGUCAAACUCGAGGGCUGUAGAGGCAGACGGAAUUCCGGGUGUAGCGGUGGAAUGCGUAGAGAUCCGGAGGAAGACCGGUGGCGAAGGCGGCUUCCUGGACCGACACUGACGCUGAGGCGCGAAAGCUAGGGGAGCAAACGGG